AAAAAAAAAAAAAAAAAAAGACUUCCUGCACUUCGUCUAUUCAUGACUUAAUGCUUUUUUUAUUCAGUCUUUUCUACUGGAUUUCUAUGUGGAUUUUCUUUCUUAUUUUCAGCAGCCAAUUUGUCAUAAUUUACAUCCAUGAAUAUCUUGUCUUGGCUUUUGUUUUCCCCCCAACCUUAUCUCUUCUUGGUUUUUUUGGUAAAAACGUAUUUUAAAAUGCUAUAAACAAUUGAUGAUCUACAAUGAUUUACUUUUAAGAGACAUCUAAAUCUCUAAAAUAUCUAGGAACAAUAAAAUGUGCUUUUUCAAAUCUUCAGCAUUAUACCCCCAAUGUCCAGAAGGGAGUGCCGCUUUGGCACUGGUAGGGUACUUAUCUUUAUUGAUUAAAAAAAAAAAAAAAACUCUCACUUUUUGCGACCAUCAUAAAUUCAUAAUUCAUCAUUAUCUGAGUUGAUAGAGUAUUACAGAUCAGAAAUGGAUGGCCAUCGAUUACAUUACCUAAAUGGUAAUUCAUUAGUGAAUGGAAGGGGAAUUUAUAGGGAAGAAAUAGUUUCACUUCACGGAAAUCAUGCAUUGAUAGGAUUUUUUAUUCAUGAUAUGUAAAUAUGAGAGUUGACACUCAGCUUGUCCUUUUUUAGCCAUGCUAGCAGCAUUUUUUGUUGCAGCACCUCUUGGAAGUUCUAUGAAUCUUCUUUUGUCAUUGUUUGCAGAAUAUCAUUGGGCAGGAAGCAGGCAAAAGCGUGAUUGAGGAAUAUUUACGUCGUCGAGGUCAUUCAGAUGUUGGCAGCAGCACACCAGCUGUCCAAACCUCAAAAUUUCAUGCUUAUGUCAAACCAUCAACAAACAAUGGUUCUGAAAGUGGAACCAAGAAACCAGGUAGAUCACCUAAAGAUGUUGCUGUCUCUGGUUAUCAGAAUGAACCGAGGAAAGUUUCAGUUCCCAGUUAUCAGGCAGAACAAAAGAAGAACGCUAUUUCCAUUUAUCAAGAACCUAAGGUUUCAACCGAGGCAAGUGAGUCAAGCCAGAAGGGGAUCCAAGGUCAUUCUAGGAAGAAAAAAGCUGGGAAAGUCAUUUCGCUUGCAGAGGCUGCUAAGGGGUCAAUUGUGUUCCAACAGGGGAAACCAUGUUCAUGCCAAGCUCGUCGACACAGACUGAUAAGCAAUUGUUUAUCUUGUGGCAAGAUAGUUUGUGAACAAGAAGGAGAGGGGCCUUGCAGCUUCUGUGGUGCCCUUGUUCUAAAGGAGGGGAGCACCUAUGCUGGUCUUGAAGGAAAUUUGGCUCCCCUAUCAGAUGCUGAAGCAGUAGCUGAAGCUUAUGCAAGAAGGCUUGUUGAGUAUGACCGAAACUCUGCAGCACGUACAACUGUUAUUGAUGACCAAAGUGAUUACUAUGAGAUUGAGGGCAACAGUUGGCUGUCAAAAGAGGAAAAGGAACUUUUAAGGAAGAAACAACAGGCGAUAGAAGAAGCUGAAACAGCGAAGCGAAAUAAAGUAGUUGUGACUUUUGAUUUAGUUGGGCGCAAGGUAUCAAUUAUUAAUCUAACCUUGUUCUGUUGUUCCAAAUCAUUAUGGUUGCAGCAUUAGUCUUUUGACUGCACUUUGACCUAUCCUUUAUGAAUUAUGUACAACAUGUUCACUAGUGUUUUUCCACCUAAGCUUCUGCAUUUUUUGUCUUUUAGUCAUACGGAUCUAGAAAUUCGGAUGGGAUGUACCCAUUUUAUUUAUAAAUUGAACUAGAAAUUCGGUACAACUUUUCUAUUAACCGUGCCCUAAAUGAGUCGUGCCUUUACUCUGUAUGUGGCUUUCAGCAUGUAAAUAUGACUCUCUACAGUGUUAAGUGCCUUAAUACUAACAAAAAUCGAUAGAUACAACCUUUGUAUUGUUCUUUGGCACAUGGAUUUUAUUUUCAUAUUUGUUUUGCAGGCAUUUACACUUUUACCGUCUUUUCUCUAUUGCCAUUUUCCUCGUAUUCUGCACAAUAUAUAUGUGUUUUGCAGGUCUUGGUAAAUCAAGAUGAAGUUUCAGAACAAGAGUCAGAGAACAGAAUAUUGCGGCCACCAGAUGAAAGAGACAGAGAAAUGAACCGAAUUAAACCAAAUCCGACUCUUACAAUACAACCAAUCUUCAUGGAUCCUGGCCCUAGCACAAAGCCUAUGAAGGGUAAGGAGCGAGACAAGGUCCUUCCAAAUAGUUUAUGCUUGGAAGUCACUGGGAGGGUACAGCAUGAUAGCAAUCAAUUGAAAUAUUUUAUGAUGGACACGUGACAACCAGUUAUAAACAGAAAAUGUGCGGCAUUGACCAGGUCCAUUAGUGAAUAGAGGU
rnacentral:misc_RNA from 1 species